rnacentral:rRNA from 1 species
AGUGAACGCUGGCGGUAGGCCUAACACAUGCAAGUCGAACGGCAGCACAGUAAGAGCUUGCUCUUACGGGUGGCGAGUGGCGGACGGGUGAGGAAUACAUCGGAAUCUACUUUUUCGUGGGGGAUAACGUAGGGAAACUUACGCUAAUACCGCAUACGGCCUACGGGUGAAAGCAGGGGAUCUUCGGACCUUGCGCGGUUGAAUGAGCCGAUGUCGGAUUAGCUAGUUGGCGGGGUAAAGGCCCACCAAGGCGACGAUCCGUAGCUGGUCUGAGAGGAUGAUCAGCCACACUGGAACUGAGACACGGUCCAGACUCCUACGGGAGGCAGCAGUGGGGAAUAUUGGACAAUGGGCGCAAGCCUGAUCCAGCCAUACCGCGUGGGUGAAGAAGGCCUUCGGGUUGUAAAGCCCUUUUGUUGGGAAAGAAAAGCAGCAGGUUAAUACCCCGCUGUUCUGACGGUACCCAAAGAAUAAGCACCGGCUAACUUCGUG